rnacentral:tRNA from 1 species
GGUAGAAUGGCCGCGCGGUCUAAGGCGCUGGUUUAAGGCACCAGUCAUUUCGAUGGCGUGGGUUCGAAUCCCCACUGUUGCCA